rnacentral:rRNA from 1 species
UACAGAGGUCUCAAGCGUUGUUCGGAUUCAUUGGGCGUAAAGGGCGCGUAGGCGGGCCAUCAAGUCAGGGGUGAAAUCUUUCGGCUCAACCGGAAAAGUGCCUUUGAUACUGGUGGUCUCGAGGGAGGUAGGGGCAUGCGGAACUUCCGGUGGAGCGGUGAAAUGCGUAGAUAUCGGAAGGAACGCCGGUGGCGAAAGCGGCGUGCUGGACCUCUUCUGACGCUGAGGCGCGAAAGCUAGGGGAGCAAACGGGG